GUCAGCCGGCCUAGGAGGAGGAAGGAGCCUGCAGCGUGCAGCGUGAGGGGCGGGACCCGGCUGCCGGCGGUGGGUCUAGCUGGGGGAGGUCGGGCCAUGCUGGUGGGCCAGGGCGCGGGGCCGCUGGGGCCCGCGGUGGUCACCGCCGCGGUGGUGCUGCUGCUGAGCGGCGUGGGGCCGGCGCACGGCUCGGAGGACAUCGUGGUGGGCUGCGGUGGCUUCGUCAAGUCGGACGUGGAGAUCAACUACUCGCUCAUCGAGAUAAAGCUGUACACCAAGCAUGGGACUUUGAAAUACCAGACAGACUGUGCCCCUAAUAAUGGUUACUUUAUGAUCCCUUUGUAUGAUAAGGGGGAUUUCAUUCUGAAGAUUGAGCCUCCCCUAGGGUGGAGUUUUGAGCCGACGACUGUGGAGCUCCAUGUGGAUGGAGUCAGUGACAUCUGCACAAAGGGUGGGGACAUCAACUUUGUCUUCACUGGGUUCUCUGUGAAUGGCAAGGUCCUCAGCAAAGGGCAGCCCCUGGGUCCUGCGGGAGUUCAGGUGUCUCUGAGAAACACUGGGACCGAAGCAAAGAUCCAGUCCACAGUUACACAGCCUGGCGGAAAGUUUGCAUUUUUUAAAGUUCUGCCUGGAGAUUAUGAAAUCCUCGCAACUCAUCCAACCUGGGCGUUGAAAGAGGCAAGCACCACAGUGCGUGUAACCAACUCCAAUGCCAAUGUGGCCAGUCCCCUCAUAGUUGCCGGCUACAAUGUGUCUGGCUCUGUCCGAAGUGAUGGGGAGCCCAUGAAAGGGGUGAAGUUUCUUCUCUUUUCUUCUUUAGUAACUAAAGAGGAUGUCCUGGGCUGCAAUGUCUCACCAGUGCCUGGGUUCCAACCCCAAGACGAGAGUCUGGUGUAUUUGUGCUACACGGUCUCCAGAGAAGAUGGCUCGUUCUCUUUCUAUUCCUUGCCAAGUGGGGGCUACACUGUGAUUCCGUUCUAUCGAGGGGAGAGGAUUACCUUUGAUGUGGCGCCUUCCAGACUUGACUUCACAGUGGAGCAUGACAGCCUGAAAAUCGAGCCCGUGUUCCACGUCAUGGGAUUCUCCGUCACCGGGAGGGUCUUGAACGGACCCGAAGGAGAUGGUGUUCCAGAAGCAGUAGUCACCCUGAAUAACCAAAUCAAAGUUAAAACAAAAGCUGAUGGCUCAUUCCGCCUUGAGAACAUAACCACAGGGACAUACACCAUCCAUGCUCAGAAAGAGCACCUCUACUUUGAAACGGUCACCAUCAAAAUUGCACCGAACACACCUCAGCUGGCUGACAUUAUUGCAACAGGGUUCAGUGUCUGUGGUCAGAUAUCAAUCAUUCGCUUCCCCGACACCGUCAAGCAGAUGAAUAAAUACAAAGUUGUCCUGUCAUCUCAAGACAAGGACAAGUCUUUGGUCACCGUGGAGACAGAUGCUCAUGGAUCAUUUUGUUUUAAAGCAAAACCAGGGACUUACAAAGUGCGGGUGAUGGUUCCUGAGGCAGAAACCAGAGCAGGGCUGACGUUGAAACCCCAGACAUUUCCUCUUACUGUGACCGACAGGCCCGUGAUGGAUGUGGCCUUUGUACAGUUCUUGGCAUCAGUUUCUGGGAAAGUCUCCUGUUUGGACACCUGCGGUGAUUUGCUGGUGACUCUACAGUCCCUGAGCCGCCAGGGUGAGAAGCGGAGCCUCCAGCUCUCCGGCAAGGUCAACGCCAUGACUUUCACCUUUGACAACGUGCUCCCUGGAAAAUACAAAAUAAGCAUCAUGCAUGAGGAUUGGUGCUGGAAGAACAAGAGCCUGGAGGUGGAAGUGCUGGAGGAUGACGUGUCUGCAGUUGAGUUCAGGCAGACGGGCUACAUGCUGAGAUGUUCCCUGUCUCACGCCAUCACUCUGGAAUUUUAUCAGGAUGGAAAUGGGCGUGAGAAUGUGGGGAUUUAUAACCUCUCCAAAGGAGUCAACCGAUUCUGCCUGUCCAAGCCUGGUGUGUACAAAGUGACCCCUCGCUCCUGCCACCGGUUUGAGCAAGCGUUCUACACCUAUGACACGUCUUCACCUAGUAUCUUGACAUUGACAGCCAUUCGCCACCAUGUCCUUGGAACUGUCACCACCGACAAAAUGAUGGAUGUCACUGUGACUAUCAAGUCUUCCAUCGACAGUGAACCCGCCUUGGUCUUAGGCCCUCUGAAGUCUGUGCAGGAGCUGCGGAGGGAGCAGCAGCUGGCUGAGAUCGAGGCCCGCAGGCAGGAGAGGGAGAAAAACGGCAAAGAGGAAGGCGAAGAAAGAAUGACCAAGCCUCCCGUGCAGGAGAUGGUAGAUGAGUUACAAGGCCCCUUCUCGUAUGAUUUCUCUUACUGGGCACGGUCUGGAGAGAAAAUCACUGUUACACCAUCAUCUAAAGAGCUGCUCUUUUAUCCCCCUUCAAUGGAAGCCGUUGUCAGUGGAGAAAGCUGCCCAGGGAAGCUGAUCGAGAUCCACGGGAAGGCAGGCCUGUUUUUAGAAGGCCAGAUCCACCCCGAGUUAGAAGGAGUCGAGAUUGUCAUCAGUGAAAAGGGGGCAAGUUCACCACUGAUCACAGUCUUUACUGAUGACAAAGGUGCCUACAGUGUUGGCCCCCUGCACAGUGACCUGGAGUACACGGUGACCUCACAGAAGGAGGGCUAUGUUCUGACUGCGGUGGAAGGAACCAUCGGAGACUUCAAGGCCUAUGCCCUGGCAGGCGUAAGCUUUGAGAUAAAAGCUGAGGAUGACCAGCCCCUCCCAGGAGUCCUCUUAUCCCUGAGCGGUGGCCUGUUUCGUUCCAACCUCUUGACCCAGGACAACGGCAUUCUGACAUUCUCAAACCUGAGCCCUGGCCAGUAUUACUUCAAACCCAUGAUGAAGGAGUUCCGGUUUGAGCCAUCCUCACAGAUGAUCGAGGUGCAGGAAGGCCAGAACCUGAAGAUCACCAUCACGGGGUACCGAACCGCUUACAGUUGCUAUGGCACAGUGUCUUCCUUAAACGGAGAGCCCGAACAAGGGGUUGCCGUGGAAGCGGUGGGCCAGAAUGACUGCAGCAUUUACGGAGAAGACACCGUGACAGAUGAAGAGGGCAAGUUCAGAUUACGUGGAUUGCUGCCGGGAUGUGUGUACCACGUUCAGCUCAAGGCAGAAGGCAAUGACCACAUUGAGCGGGCGCUCCCCCACCAUAGGGUGAUUGAGGUUGGGAAUAAUGACAUCGAUGAUGUAAACAUCAUAGUUUUCCGGCAGAUUAAUCAAUUUGAUUUAAGUGGAAAUGUGAUCACUUCCUCUGAAUACCUUCCUACAUUAUGGGUCAAGCUUUACAAAAGUGAGAACCUCGACAAUCCAAUCCAGACAGUUUCCCUUGGCCAGUCCCUGUUCUUCCAUUUCCCCCCGCUGCUCAGAGACGGCGAGAACUAUGUUGUGCUUCUGGACUCCACACUCCCCAGAUCCCAGUAUGACUACAUCUUGCCUCAAGUUUCUUUCACCGCAGUGGGCUACCAUAAACACAUCACCUUGAUUUUUAAUCCCACGAGGAAGCUGCCUGAACAGGACAUCGCACAAGGGUCCUACAUUGCCCUGCCAUUGACGCUGCUGGUUCUGCUGGCCGGUUACAACCAUGACAAGCUCAUUCCUUUGCUGCUGCAGUUGACAAGCCGGCUACAGGGAGUCCGCGCGCUCGGCCAGGCAGCCUCUGACAAUAGCGGCCCAGAAGAUGCAAAGAGACAAGCCAAGAAACAGAAGACAAGGCGGACGUGAGGAGGAAGGGGACAGUUACAGUCUCACUUGGGACAGGCCACAGCCAGGGGUCUGGCCACCACCUGCCCGUGGGAUAAAAGCCAAAAGCAUGCGUCAGCUAACUUCAGCCUGUGCUGCUGGGCCCGCACCCCAUGUCCCUUGUCACUGUGGCAUCCUGCACCCAUCCUCACCCCUCCGUAGAGCCCGUCGUGCAAUGCAAUGAAUGGACCCUCCUGUCACUCUGCUGAACAGAAUUUAUUUUCUGAGUCAAAUAUAAUUUAUUAUUAUUUUUGUCAAAGAAGUAUUUAAGCUGUGCUGUGGCGUGAGAAUGUCAUUCUUGAUCUUCAGCCUUCGUUUGCAAGAAGAGUUCCAGUUGACGUGGUGUUUGGUUCCAUGGCGGGGUACCCUAGGGAUUCAUCUGUUUUCUUCACUUCCCUUUGCAUCUGAGAUCCUGCUGGAAACCACAGCAACCUGUAUCCACUAUUAGGAGAUGGGGUCUUGUUCUGUUCCCCAGGCUGGAGUACAAUGGCACCAUCACAGCUCACUGCAGCCUUGAUCUCCCAGGGUCAAGCGAUCAUCGUGCCUCAGCCUGCUGAGUAGCUGGGACUACAGGAGUGCACCACCACACCUGGCUAAUUUUUUUUUUUUAAUCUUUGUAGAGAUGAGCUCUCACUAGGUUGUCCAGACUGGUCUUGAACUCCUGAGCUCAAGCAAUCCUCCCACCUUGGGCUCCCUAAGUGUUGGGAUUACAGGCAAGAGUCACCACACCCAGCCAGGAUCACAGACGUUUAAAUUACACUCCUUCUGCUGCGCCUUACAGCAGUAGAAGGGGUGAAAUUUAAACGUCUGUGAUCCUGGGGUUGUUUAAGAUGCCGCCCAUCUACAUAUUCUUUCAGAUGCACAAUAUUUCACUGUGUGAAUGAAACAGCAGCCCUUCUUACUUGUGCUUUUUGGAAUUUGAAGAUUUUGUAAGAUAAGAUGAAUGCAUUGGAACAAGUGAUCCUCAAUUCUGUGCAGUCUGUGCCUCCGGAGACUGGCAGCUGCCCCUCCCUGUCUAGUCUUGCAAGAGAGGCAGCUGGCAAGAGGACAGAAGCCAGCAGCUGCUGCAUUUUCAUCCUGUUUCUGCUCUUGGAGCUGAGGGGGAGAGGUGGCUAGCAGCCACCCAGUGAUCAAACUUGCAGCCUGCCUCUCUUGCUUCCUUUUCACGGACUGGAGUGUGCCUGGGUAUGGAGAAAGAACAUUUUGCUUCUUGCCUCUCAGAGUUUCAAGAACGCCUCACCUGAGUGGCAUGCAUUCACGGAAUGAGUAAUUAUUACAGUGGAGAACUCCUCACUGUGAAUUAAUUACACAGAUGAUAUUCAAGACUUAGACUGGGCUAGUGCAGGGGUUAGCAAACUACGGCCCACUGUUUUUGUUUUAUAAAUAAAGUGUUAUGAGCACACA